rnacentral:lncRNA from 1 species
GGAAAGAAUGACAGACUAUGCCAGGUGGAGCUGAGUGUGAAGGAAGCAAGCCAGACAGGAAGGAGUGGCGGAGCGUACGAGGGCCGCUCGGGCAGGGCCUGAAUGGAGCCAGGAGGAGCAGUGUAGGGGGCUCUUAGAUGGGCUUCUGCGUGGACCCCUCUUGGCUUGCUCUCCCCCACACAGAGCAGUUCAUCACCCGGAAGCAUCCUGGCCUGAAGAUAAAGGCUGACAUUAAACUG